rnacentral:rRNA from 1 species
CAAUAGCGUAUAUUAAAGUUGUUGCGGUUAAAACGCUCGUAGUUGGAUUUCUGCUGAGGACGAUCGGUCCGCCCACUGGGUGAGUAUCUGGCUCGGCCCUGGCAUCUUCUUGGAGAACGUUGCUGCACUUGACUGUGUGGUGCGGUAUCCAGGACUUUUACUUUGAGGAAAUUAGAGUGUUUCAAGCAGGCGCACGCCUUGAAUACAUUAGCAUGGAAUAAUAAGAUAGGACCUUAGUUCUAUUUUGUUGGUUUCUAGAGCUGAGGUAAUGAUUAAUAGGGAUAGUUGGGGGCAUUCGUAUUUAACUGUCAGAGGUGAAACUCUUGGAUUUGUUAAAGACGGACUACUGCGAAAGCAUUUGCCAAGGAUGUUUUCAUUGA